UAGGGAAUCUUCGGCAAUGGGGGCAACCCUGACCGAGCAACGCCGCGUGAGUGAAGAAGGUUUUCGGAUCGUAAAGCUCUGUUGUAAGAGAAGAACGUGUGUGAGAGUGGAAAGUUCACACAGUGACGGUAACUUACCAGAAAGGGACGGCUAACUACGUGCCAGCAGCCGCGGUAAUACGUAGGUCCCGAGCGUUGUCCGGAUUUAUUGGGCGUAAAGCGAGCGCAGGCGAUUUAAUAAGUCUGAAGUUAAAGGCAGUGGCUUAACCAUUGUUCGCUUUGGAAACUGUUAAACUUGAGUGCAGAAGGGGAGAGUGGAAUUCCAUGUGUAGCGGUGAAAUGCGUAGAUAUAUGGAGGAACACCGGUGGCGAAAGCGGCUCUCUGGUCUGUAACUGACGCUGAGGCUCGAAAGCGUGGGGAGCAAACAGG
rnacentral:rRNA from 1 species